rnacentral:rRNA from 1 species
UUCCGGUUGAUCCCGCCGGACCUGACUGCUAUCGGAUUGAUACUAAGCCAUGCGAGUCAUUGUAGCAAUACAAGGCAGACGGCUCAGUAACGCGUAGUCAACCUAACCUAUGGACGGGGAUAACCUCGGGAAACUGAGAAUAAUGCCCGAUAGAACACUAUGCCUGGAAUGGUUUGUGUUCCAAAUGAUUUAUCGCCGUAGGAUGGGACUGCGGCCUAUCAGUUUGUUGGUGAGGUAAUGGCCCACCAAGACUAUUACAGGUACGGGCUCUGAGAGGAGUGGCCCGGAGAUGGGUACUGAGACACGGACCCAGGCCCUAUGGGGCGCAGCAGGCGAGAAAACUUUGCAAUGUGCGAAAGCACGACAAGGUUAAUCCGAGGUGGUUUCUGCUAAAGGAACCUUUUGUCGGUCCUAGAAACACCGAUGAAUAAGGGGUGGGCAAGUUCUGGUGUCAGCCGCCGCGGUAAAACCCAGCACCCUCAAGUGGUCAGGAUGAUUUAUUGGGCCUAAAGCAUCCGUAGCCUGCUUUGUUAGUUUUCGGUUAAAUCUGUACGCUCAACGUACAGGCUGCCGGGAAUACUGCAAAGCUAGGGAGUGGGAGAGGUAGACGGUACUCGGUAGGAAGGGGUAAAAUCCUUUGAUCUAUUGAUGACCACCUGUGGCGAAGGCGGUCUACCAGAACACGUCCGACGGUGAGGGAUGAAAGCUGGGGGAGCAAACCGGAUUAGAUACCCGGGUAGUCCCAGCUGUAAACCAUGCAAACUCAGUGAUGCAUUGGCUUGUGGCCAAUGCAGUGCUGCAGGGAAGCCGUUAAGUUUGCCGCCUGGGAAGUACGUACGCAAGUAUGAAACUUAAAGGAAUUGGCGGGGGAGCACCACAAGGGGUGAAGCCUGCGGUUCAAUUGGAUUCAACGCCGGAAAUCACUAGUG